CCUACGGGCGGCAGCAGUCGAGAAUCAUUCACAAUGGGGGAAACCCUGAUGGUGCGACGCCGCGUGGGGGAAUGAAGGUCUUCGGAUUGUAAACCCCUGUCAUGUGGGAGCAAAUUAAAAAGAUAGUACCACACGAGGAAGAGACGGCUAACUCUGUGCCAGCAGCCGCGGUAAUACAGAGGUCUCAAGCGUUGUUCGGAAUCACUGGGCGUAAAGCGUGCGUAGGCUGUUUCGUAAGUCGUGCGUGAAAGGCGCGGGCUCAACCCGCGGACGGCACAUGAUACUGCGAGACUAGAGUAAUGGAGGGGGAACCGGAAUUCUCGGUGUAGCAGUGAAAUGCGUAGAUAUCGAGAGGAACACUCGUGGCGAAGGCGGGUUCCUGGACAUUAACUGACGCUGAGGCACGAAGGCCAGGGGAGCGAAAGGGAUUAGAUACCCCUGUAGUC
rnacentral:rRNA from 1 species